GACAAAUAUUUAUACUAGCUAGGUUAAGGUAUAAGCUGGUUUAAUAAAUGGGGGGGUGUAAAUUCUUUGCCAAUUAUCAUGAAUCCAUGACACAUUACAUAGCUAUGUUUCCAAUACCAGGAAUGUUUUCACUCUUGUUGAGAAACUCUUAAAACCAAUUAAAAAAAAACCUCUUGGUUACUGCCAAUGUAUGCAUGCCACUACUGCCCCAUAAGGGUUAUCCUGCCACACUGAUUGUUGAUGUAGUGCAAGAAAAUUAUACAUUGGUAGAACUGUUGUUUGCCUGCCUCCUGUGGAAGAUUUCAUGGUUCUUUCAGAUUUCCUUAAAUUAGUCCUCAGGCAGGGGCAUUCAUGAAAGUUCUAGCUCAGGCAUUUCUGAGCUAGAUGUUUCUGCUGUGCAUGUCUUCCCCACUGAAGAUUUAAAUUUCAUCUUUGAUGGGUAACCAAGUGCAAUAGCAAUAGACUUAAUUUGGAGUAGAUUUGGUCAUCCCUGGCCAACAACUCAAAAGAGGGCUAACACCCCAACAUAAAUGAUUUUGGCUCAAUUGGAGACAUAAAAUAGCUAGCUAACAGUUUUGGUUUUUUUCAUUGUUAGAGUAUGUUUAGAUUGGUGGAUAUCUCUAAUACGUUUACUAUCGGGUAUUUUAUUCCUCCAUAUUAUUGGAUAGUUAUAUUAUCAAUAUUUACCAAAUUACCCAUUAAAAUAUUUUACUAGAUAUUAAAUGAAAUGGCAUUAAAGAUAAAUAAUUUAACAUGUCUAUCAAUGCUUAAAAUGUUUUGAUUUAGUCUGUGAAUGAGCUAAGAACAUAUCUACAGGAAAGUGAGCCGGUGACCGUCCAGGUUACGUGACUGUAGAAAUAACCAUUGUUCUGCUCUCUCCUAGCAUGCACAGAUAUUGCUUCUGUGUAAAGCAAGUUGUGAUGUGUAGAUUUCUGCAUUGCUGGGCUACAAUAAUUUAGGAAAGUUCUUGGUAAAAGUGGCAAAUUGAAUAAUGUAUAAUGACCAAAAAUAUUCAAUCAAAUUGUUUAUUAAAAUACAUAGGAGAUCAUUUUCAAUGAUAAGAUUGGUAAUUCAAGAUCACACUGAAAGCUUGCAAAGGACACAGUCAAUGCAAGUGCUGGUUUUAAAAAAAAAAAGACAUUUUCAGUUUUCCUGCUUCCACCAGUAGAGGGAAUUCCAACAGUUAUUUCAGUUAUAAAUGGAAGUAUUUCAAAUCACCUUUGAAAGUUUAAACCAAUGUAUGUUGAUAUGUCUCUCUUAUGGAAGUCAAUUUGAAGAUGUUGAAAGUUUACUUAAUAUAAUUAUUCUCAAUCUACUUAAUAGCAACAUUAUUUUAAAUAAGUAUAUCAAAGUUUGAACACGAAGAUGCUGAUUUUUAUAGAUAUCCUAACACUAUUUAACUAUUUGACUUUUAUUAAUAACACUGAAGCAAAAGUAGUAUGGGUUUGAUGAAAUUACUAUUAACAUCUAAUGUCGGUAGAAAUAGAAUUAUUUUACUUUUCUUUUAAACAUAAUAUACUAUAUCUUUCCACAAAAGGAAAACUACCUUCCCUUAUAUGCAGGCUCUAGAACCAGUCAUGGUGCCUCAUCCCUGUAACCACAGAUUACUUGAGACCUACACAAGUAAUUUGCUAUGAAGUCAUCAUGAAUCUGGACUACAGAGUGAGCCCCUUUAUAAAACACAAAACCAAGCCUAAAACCCCUAACAGAAUGCCAAAAACCUAGCCACCAAACACCCCUCCC
rnacentral:lncRNA from 1 species